GACGAACGCUGGCGGCGUGCUUAACACAUGCAAGUCGAACGAAGAGCGAUGGAAGCUUGCUUCUAUCAAUCUUAGUGGCGAACGGGUGAGUAACGCGUAAUCAACCUGCCCUUCAGAGGGGGACAACAGUUGGAAACGACUGCUAAUACCGCAUACGAUCUAAUCUCGGCAUCGAGGAUAGAUGAAAGGUGGCCUCUACAUGUAAGCUAUCACUGAAGGAGGGGAUUGCGUCUGAUUAGCUAGUUGGAGGGGUAACGGCCCACCAAGGCGAUGAUCAGUAGCCGGUCUGAGAGGAUGAACGGCCACAUUGGGACUGAGACACGGCCCAGACUCCUACGGGAGGCAGCAGUGGGGAAUCUUCCGCAAUGGACGAAAGUCUGACGGAGCAACGCCGCGUGAGCGAUGACGGCCUUCGGGUUGUAAAGCUCUGUUAAUCGGGACGAAAGGUCUUCUUGCGAAUAGUGAGAAGGAUUGACGGUACCGGAAUAGAAAGCCACGGCUAACUACGUG
rnacentral:rRNA from 1 species